rnacentral:rRNA from 1 species
UACAGAGGUCUCAAGCGUUGUUCGGAUUCAUUGGGCGUAAAGGGUGCGUAGGUGGUGACGCAAGUCUGGUGUGAAAUCUCGGAGCUCAACUCCGAAAUUGCACCGGAUACUGCGUGACUCGAGGACUGUAGAGGAGAUCGGAAUUCACGGUGUAGCAGUGAAAUGCGUUGAUAUCAUCAGGAACACCGGUGGCGAAGGCGGCUUUCUGGGGUCUUAACCUGACGCUGGAGGAACGAAAGCCAGGUGG